AUCUUAUAAAAUAUACAAUUUUAAUGCGUUUGGAAACAUAAAAAGUAAUUACCUAUCUAGCACGUGUUUCUUAUAAUGUAAUCUGCUUAAAUUACUGGCAAAACCGCAGGGAUAUAGAUGUUAGGUAAAUGUCAUUGAUAUCGGUCAUGUCGUUUAGGGUAUUGGAACUCGACGUCGACGUAUAAAAGGGAUUAGCAGGUAGUAAACUCUUCGUGAGAGGCGCACAUUUUGCUUUAGUUAAUGCUUAGAUGCGCGUUCUUGUUUGUGCUUAAGGAAUUCGUUACUACUACAUUUUGUAUUUUACAAGAUUCGUACUUGCUGUAUAUUUAGAAUGAGGUUGCGGGGUAUUUCAAGAGUAGUGUCUACAAACGAAAAGCGCGUCGCGCUAAAUGAACUCAGGAUUGGCGGCACGCCCGGUCGUAUUAAUAAACUGAACAAUGGUAAACCCCAAUUUGUUAAGAGAAUAGUUGUUGGUAUAUGCGACGUAGGCCGAUCCACAGUCAAUUUGAAUGGGAAUUGAUCAUCUAUCGGGUAUUCUUAAAAGAAAACAUUAAGGUUAGUUAGUAUUUUUUGUUAACUUACCGAUGUAAUGCAUCUUGUAGUUAGCGUUUAAUGUAAAACUUGUAGUUAGAUUAAGUAACGUGUAAUGAAAAUAAAAUGUGUAUUACUCUAUA